UAUCAGAUGUGUAUCAGGACUGGUGCCAC
rnacentral:piRNA from 1 species